UAAAAUGUAAUGUGGUUGGUCAAUUACAUAAUUAAUAUACAUUAAUAAGCAGAGAUUAACCAAUGGCUAUAGAGAUACGAUGGCGUUGGAAAAACCCGCCUUAUUUCCGAUGUUUGCCGAACUUCACCGAUUCUUAUUUUUCCUCUCUAAGCUAUUAUUUUUUUUAAAUCCGUGUUGUCUCGUUGGUCUCGCUCUGGAUCGGCUACAACUCUUGGAAAAGAAGCUCGUUCACGAGGCCUACCUCGACCUUUCGGAAAAUCAAAGACGUAUUUAAAGUGGUUUUUCGCUUAGUAUUAUUAUUUUGAAACCAGUUAAAACGAGUUAUUUUUCUUAUGUUUUUUAAGAAGAUGUCGAAGUUACUAUUACUUUACAACAACAUUUUGUUUUUUUACGGGACUACGCGAGAAUCCUCGGUCUCAAGUGGAAACCAUGCCGGCGUGGUCAGUGUUAUUUGAAGUACUCCAACUGGGAAAAUCCGACAAAAGCCUGCGAUGUUUAAUACAAUAACGGUACCAGAAGUGUUUUCACCAUGGAAGGACCUGGUUGUUGCCACUGACUGGCUCAGGAGUGGACCAGCCACUGUAGACAUUGUUCACAAAACUCUUGCUACAGAACAUUACCACAAGACCAAGAGGUCUUCAACUAAAAAUGUACACCUAAAAGCUGAUGUAACAUAUUGUAGAAUGUUGUCCCCCUUAACAACUUUUUUGUUUGUUCUUGCAUGAGUGUGUAGCCAGGAGGACUUUUUAAAGACUAGAGCAAGUAGGUUUAACAGGGAAGUUGUUAGAUAUAUGAUCACAUUGAUUGCACUGCAUCGGUUGAUUUUUAAACGGCAUGUCCAUAAACCAAUCAGUUUGCAUUACCGAUUUGCAAAUACUUUUCUUAGUGGCUAGGCUCUUCUGUAUGCUGCUCCUUUUUAGAAUGGUAGUUGCAAAUGUACACCCCUGAUUGUUGAGUGAUUUUAAAUUAAAGGAUUGUAGUAACUGUAUUUUGUUUAAAGUAAUAAAGAAAUCAAAGUUA